rnacentral:misc_RNA from 1 species
CGCGGUGUCCGGCGCGCCGUU